rnacentral:rRNA from 1 species
AUUGAACGCUGGCGGCAUGCCUUACACAUGCAAGUCGAACGGCAGCACGGGUGCUUGCACCUGGUGGCGAGUGGCGAACGGGUGAGUAAUAUAUCGGAACGUACCUUAUUGUGGGGGAUAACGCAGCGAAAGCUGUGCUAAUACCGCAUAAUCCCUAAGGGGGAAAGCGGGGGACCGUAAGGCCUCGCGCAAUUAGAGCGGCCGAUACCUGAUUAGCUAGUUGGUGAGGUAAAGGCUCACCAAGGCAACGAUCAGUAGCUGGUCUGAGAGGACGAUCAGGCACACUGGGACGGAGACACGGCCCAGACUCCUACGGGAGGCAGCAGUGGGGAAUUUUGGACAAUGGACGCAAGUCUGAUCCAGCGAUGCCGCGUGAGUGAAGAAUGUCUUCGGAUUGUAAAGCUCUUUUGUCAGGGAAGAAAAGUGCUGUAAUAACACUACGGCACAAUGACGGUACCUGAAGAAUAAGGAUCGGCUAACUACGUGCCAGCCGCCGCCGUAA